GGCUGGGUGGCUUAGUGGUUAGAGCACCGGACCAAGCUUGUUCCUGGAGGUCUCAGGUGUUCAAUCCAUGUUUCUGCCA